AAAGCCCUACGGGGGGCAGCAGUGGGGGAUAUUGCACAAUGGGGGGAACCCUGAUGCAGCGACGCCGCGUGGGUGAAGGAGUGCUUCGGCAUGUAAAGCCCUAUCGGCAGGGAAGAAGCAAGACGGUACCUGACUAAGAAGCCCCGGCUAGCUACGUGCCAGCAGCCGCGGGAAUACGUAGGGGGCGAGCGUUAUCCGGAUUCACUGGGUGUAAAGGGAGCGUAGACGGCCAUGCAAGCCAGGGGUGAAAGCCCGGGGCCCAAACCCGGGACUGCCCUUGGCACUGCAUGGCUGGAGUGCGGGAG
rnacentral:rRNA from 1 species